rnacentral:lncRNA from 1 species
ACUAAUCUUGCAUUCCUGAGGCCUCCUAGUCCACGAAAGUUAUGGGCCCAUAGAGAAGGUCACCAUCUUGGAGCACCCUCCCUGCCAUCUCUGGACAGUGGGCAGAGAAGAAUGUUUUAUGGACUCCAGCCCACUUCCCUCUUCUCUCUCUCUCUCUCUCUCUCUCUCUCUCUCUCUCUCUCUCUCUCUCUCUCUCUCUCCCCCCCUCUGUUUUUCUCUGUUUUUGUCUCUCUCUGUAUCUCUCUGUCUCUGUCUCUCUCAUUGUCUUUGUUUCUCUCUAUGUCUCUCUGUUCUUCUCUUUCUCUGUUUCUCUCUCUAUCUCUGUCUCUGUCUCUCUAUCUAUUUCUGUCUAUGUCUGUCUCUCUCUGUAUCUCUGUAUGUCUCUGUCUCUGUCUGUGUCUGUUUCUCUAUGUCUCUCUCUCUUUAUCUCUGUCUCGGUCUCUAUCUCUGUCUGUCUCUCACUAUCUCUGUCUAUCUCUCUCUGUCUCUGUCUCACUGUCUGUUUCUCUCUGUUUCUCUCUGUCUCUCUCUUUCUGUCUCUGUCUGUCUUUGUGUCUUUCUCUGUCUCUAUGUAUUUGUCUUUGUAUGUCUGUCUCUCUAUCUCUCUGUUUCUCUCUAUCUCUGUCUAUGUCUCUCUGUCUAUCUCUGUCUCUGUCUAUCUCUGUCUCUGUGUCUCUGUCUUUGUUUCUCUCUCUGUGUCUCUUUCUGUCUUUGUCUCUUUCUCUGUCUGUCUCUGUCUCUGUCUAUCUCUCUAUGUUUCUCUGUCUUUAUCUAUAUCUCUCUUAAUCUCUCUGUCUCUGUCUAUGUCUGUUUCUCUCUGUCUUUCUGUAUCUCUGUGUGUCUCUCUAUAUAUCUCUGUCUCUGUCUCUCUGCCUCUUUCUGUCUGUUUCUCUGUCUCUCUCUGUCUCUAUCUCUUUCUGUUUCUCUGUCUCUCUGUCUCUCUGUCUCUCUCUUAAUCUCUCUGCCUACAUCUGUUUCUGUCUCUGUAUUUCUGUGUGUCUCUCUAUAUAUCUCUGUCUCUCUGUCUCUGUCUCUCCUUUCAUGUCUCUGUAUGUGUUUGUCUCUGUCUCUCUCUUAAUCUCUCUGUGUCUGUUUCUCUCUGUCUCUUUCUGUGUCUCUGUGUGUCUCUCUCUGUCUCUCUGUCUCUCUCUGCUCUGUCUCUGUCCCCCUCCUUCACCUCCCUAACCCUAACCCUUAAAGACUUUUAAUGCUCAAAGAUCAGCACCCCAAAGAGUAGAUAGAAGGAUGACAGCAGCAGAGAGAUCAUGAAGUGGG